UACGGAGGGUGCAAGCGUUAUUCGGAAUUAUUGGGCGUAAAGGGCGCGUAGGCGGCUAGAUGUGUCAAAGGUGAAAUCCCUCGGCUCAACUGAGGAACUGCCUUUGAAACUGUCUGGCUUGAGACCGGAAGAGGUAAGUGGAACUGCGAGUGUAGAGGUGAAAUUCGUAGAUAUUCGGAAGAACACCAGUGGCGAAGGCGGCUCACUGGUCCGGUACUGACGCUGAGGUGCGAAAGCGUGGGGAGCAAACAGG
rnacentral:rRNA from 1 species